rnacentral:rRNA from 1 species
GUGACUAUGCGACGCCGCGUGCAGGAUGAAGGCCUUCGGGUUGUAAACUGCUGUCGGUGGGGAAGAAACCCUUAUAUUUAAAAGAUGUAAGGCUGACAUCACCCACAAAGGAAGCCACGGCUAACUCUGUGCCAGCAGCCGCGGUAAGACAGAGGUGGCAAGCGUUGUUCGGAUUCAUUGGGUGUAAAGGGUCCGUAGGUGGCCCAGCAAGUCUGACGUGAAAUCCCAUGGCUCAACCGUGGAACUGCGUUGGAAACUGCAGGGCUUGAGUACCGCAGAGGUGAAGGGAAUUCCCGGUGUAAGGGCGAAAUCUGUAGAUAUCGGGAGGAACACCAGUGGCGAAGGCGCUUCACUGGGCGGUUACUGACACUGAGGGACGAAAGCUAGGGGAGCAAACGGGAUUAGAUACCCCGGUAGUCCUAGCCGUAAACGAU